rnacentral:rRNA from 1 species
UACGUAGGGUGCGAGCGUUGUCCGGAAUUACUGGGCGUAAAGAGCUCGUAGGUGGUUUGUCGCGUUGUUCGUGAAAACUCACAACUCAAUUGUGGGCGUGCGGGCGAUACGGGCAGACUGGAGUACUGCAGGGGAGACUGGAAUUCCUGGUGUAGCGGUGGAAUGCGCAGAUAUCAGGAGGAACACCGGUGGCGAAGGCGGGUCGCUGGGACGUGACUGACACUAAGGCGCGAAAGCGUGGGGAGCGAACAGG